rnacentral:misc_RNA from 1 species
GAUGAAGAACGUAGCGAAAUGCGAUAAGUAGUGUGAAUUGCAGAAUUCAGUGAAUCAUCGAAUCUUUGAACGCACAUUGCGCCCCUUGGUAUCCCGAGGGGCAUGCCUGUUCGAGCCUCAUUUCACCACUCAAGCCUGGCUUGGUGUUGGGCGACGUCCCCUUUGGGGACGCGCCUCGAAACGCUCGGCGGCGUGGCACCGGCUUUAAGCGUAGCAGAAUCUUUCGCUUUGGAAGUCGGGGCCCCGUCUGCCGGAAGACCUACUCGCAAGGUUGACCUCGGAUCAGGCAGGGAUACCCGCUGAACUUAAGCAUAUCAAUAAGCGGAGGA